GACGAACGCUGGCGGCGUGCUUAACACAUGCAAGUCGAACGGAAAGGCCCUGCUUUUGUGGGGUGCUCGAGUGGCGAACGGGUGAGUAACACGUGAGUAACCUGCCCUUGACUUUGGGAUAACUUCAGGAAACUGGGGCUAAUACCGGAUAGGAGCUCCUGCUGCAUGGUGGGGGUUGGAAAGUUUCGGCGGUUGGGGAUGGACUCGCGGCUUAUCAGCUUGUUGGUGGGGUAGUGGCUUACCAAGGCUUUGACGGGUAGCCGGCCUGAGAGGGUGAACGGCCACAUUGGGACUGAGAUACGGCCCAGAAUGCUACGGGAGGCAGCAGUGGGGAAUAUUGCACAAUGGGCGGAAGCCUGAUGCAGAAACGCCGCGUGCGGGAUGACGGCCUUCGGGUUGUAAACCGCUUUCGCCUGUGACGAAGCGUGAGUGACGGUAAUGGGUAAAGAAGCACCGGCUAACUACGUG
rnacentral:rRNA from 1 species